CGCGCUGGAGAUGCUCUAACCCUCGUUCCACCGAGAACUCGCUGGGUGGGUGCCGCCGCCGAUCCACAACUCCGGCGACACUGCCGCCUCGCUUCCUACAACCCGAUAUCUCUUCCUACAUCCCCUCUGCUGCCCCCUUACCGAACAACAUCCUGUCCUGGCCGCGGUGCGCCCUUGGCCUCACCCUGUCCUCUUCGCUCGCCAAGACGGCCGAGGUCUUCACGGUGGUCCGGGAGAGGUGCCUGGCUUUCAUCGCGUCACAGCGCCCUUGGCGGCUCGGCGUUGGUUAGUUUCAGGAACUUUUCUCUGUGCAGAGUUGAGCUCCACGGCUUCUUCUUUGGUGGCAGCUAGAGCUGGCGAGGCUCACGGCGCGGAGAGGUACCCAACGAAGGCCUCGCCUUUGAGAACAAGAGAAAGAAAAAAGAAUAAUAUAUUGUCCAGUUGCCCAAGAUGGUCCUGAACUUUAUGGCGAGGCAUGAUUGGAAUUUGCUAUGAUCCUUGUCUCCGGUGUUUACUUCAGUUUAUAAUGUUUCGUACUAGCUGUUUUUUUAUUGAGUUUGGUACUACCAGUGUUUGCUUCAGUUUAUCGAGAAAUCUGGCAGCUAAGUUAGUUAUCUUGUUUGAUUCAGUUGCAUUUGUUGUUCUGUUUGAUUGAGAAAUCUGGCAGCUAAGUUAGUUAUCUUGUUUGAUUCAGAA